rnacentral:rRNA from 1 species
GGGAUAACAUUUGGAAACAGAUGCUAAUACCGCAUAGAUCCAAGAACCGCAUGGUUCUUGGCUGAAAGAUGGCGUAAGCUAUCGCGUUUGGAUGGACCCGCGGCGUAUUAGCUAGUUGGUGAGGUAAUGGCUCACCAAGGCGAUGAUACGUAGCCGAACUGAGAGGUUGAUCGGCCACAUUGGGACUGAGACACGGCCCAAACUCCUACGGGAGGCAGCAGUAGGGAAUCUUCCACAAUGGACGCAAGUCUGAUGGAGCAACGCCGCGUGAGUGAAGAAGGCUUUCGGGUCGUAAAACUCUGUUGUUGGAGAAGAAUGGUCGGCAGAGUAACUGUUGUCGGCGUGACGGUAUCCAACCAGAAAGCCACGGCUAACUACGCGCCAGCAGCCGCGGUAAUACGUAGGUGGCAAGCGUUAUCCGGAUUUAUUGGGCGUAAAGCGAGCGCAGGCGGUUUUUUAAGUCUGAUGUGAAAGCCCUCGGCUUAACCGAGGAAGCGCAUCGGAAACUGGGAAACUUGAGUGCAGAAGAGGACAGUGGAACUCCAUGUGUAGCGGUGAAAUGCGUAGAUAUAUGGAAGAACACCAGUGGCGAAGGCGGCUGUCUGGUCUGUAACUGACGCUGAGGCUCGAAAGCAUGGGUAGCGAACAGGAUUAGAUACCCUGGUAGUCCAUGCCGUAAGCGAUGAA